rnacentral:lncRNA from 1 species
UUUUUCUACCCCUAAUAAAUGUGAGCACUGUGAUCAUAAAGACCCAGGUCAAUGCCCAAUGUCAUCGAAGACUUUCUUCCCAGGAACAAAUAUUUGUUGAGUGCCUAUAUUUUCCAGACACUUUCCAGGAUCCAGGGACUCAAUGGUCAACAUCUUCAGCAUUUACACAGAGGUCAUGGUGGAAAGUCUCAGCCUUCAGUACUAGACAACAGAAUAAGAGACAGUGGGAGCUUAUGCAGUGCGCUGGAGGCAAAGGUUGGCAUACAUGUCAAGAGAAUGUUCUCCAGCUGGGGCCUGCAGUACAGAGAAUUGUAUAUACCAGAGGGCUCAUGGGACUCUAGGCAGAUUAUUAUGGUAAUAUUGGAGGCUGCUGUCCUCUCCCUCCCACAGCUGGGCCGCCUCUCUCAUUAGAAUCUACGACUCAUUCUUUGGGAUUCAGCUUUCAUUAUUUCAGCCAGUCUUAACUCAACUUCUUCAUUUAGAAAUGAAAUCCUGCAUCCUUAGGAUAAGACCCUCCGAUUUAAAAAAGUUAGGAGUGUGCUUCAAAUCUUCCUCUUCAAUGCUUUUAGCAAGACUGAGCCUCCUCACAUGAGACAAUCGUAUUAAAUACAGUACAUUUAUUUGUCAUGUGUCUUCUCUUCCUUUGCCACAAACCCAUAAAACAGCUCACCGUGUGCCAUCAUGCGCCUCAUAUAUUUAUCCAGUCUAUUUAUUUGAUAUCAUGCCAAUAUAUCUUAGCUUGCUAUUGAUAGGGGUGUCCACAUACAAUUUAUUCCCCUCAGUUAGUUAUUCAUUUAGGAGGAAUUGAGUAAAUAAAAGGCUGGUAGGAAGUGGUGUUCA